rnacentral:SRP_RNA from 1 species
GACGAGUCUCCCCGCAUUGUGAAUUCGUUAAUCUGGUCAGGUCGGGAACGAAGCAGCCAUAGCGAUACCUCACUAGUGCCGGGGUUAAGGCUCGUCACC